UCGUUGCAUGAUCUUUAUGUUCUAGGAGCUAGCGCUGGAGUGUUUGUUGUGUUCCUCACUGCUGAGUGGAAAGGACAAGAUCUGCUUCAGUAUGUUCCUAUUUACAACAGGAAAUACUUCGAGGAGAAGGAGAGAGAUAUGUAGAUUUUCUUCGAAUUAAUAUUUAUGUAGUUUAUUCUAGUAGUUAAAUAAUACCUGCGCUUUUUCAUCACUUUGAAAUGUCAUGUCUGUCAUUAAAUAUUAAAUAAAUAUAUUUAAAUAUGCAUUGCCCAAUUUUAUGUUCAGCUUUCAGAGGAAAAUGGUUUUAAACCCCACAGCUGAUGUUGACGGACCAGAUGCGAUGUUUGAACCGAGCGCGGAGUUUAUGCGCGUACCUGUUGUCGAUGUGCACAAAGGAAAUCUUGCUGCGCACCUGGAGGAAAUGAAGAAAGCUAUUUCUAGUGCUUCAUUCAUUGCUCUUGACUGUGAAUUAAGUGGACUCGGUGACAGAAAGAAAUUAAACUCCCCAAGUAUUGACGACAGAUACAAGAACACAGGACUAGUUGCAAGAACAAGAUCAAUCAUAUCUCUGGGUAUCUCUACAUUCACAUUACACAACCCUGCUCCUGGUUCAUCAGAGAAUAGUGCUCAGGGUUCACCGGAGGGUACAGAGAAGUCAUGGAAUUACAGGGUGAAUUCAUUUAAUAUUAUGGUUCUUUGUGCAGAGGAUUAUAUUGUAGAACCUGGCUCCCUUAGGUUCCUUGUAGAGCAUGGGUUUGAGUUUGAGAAACAAUAUUCUCUUGGUGUACCGUAUACACGUGGAAAUGAUAGGGAGGGUGAGGAAGAUCAGACCUUAAGAGAACUUUUCUCUCACAUAGUAAAGUCAAGAAAGGCAGUUGUACUUCACAAUGGUUUGAUAGACCUGGUUUUCAUUUAUCAUAAUCUUUAUGCUGCUCUUCCUGAUAAAUUAGGAACCUUUAUAUCUGACCUAUCUGAGAUGUUUCCUGGUGGUAUAUACGACACCAAGUACAUUGCCGAGUUCGUGUCCAGGGCCCAGGCCAGCUUUCUGGAGUUCGUCUUUAGAAAAGAGCAGGUUGUGAACGUGUCUAAGUAUAGGGCGGGAAGACCCCAUGUCAAGGUUGGGUUUGAGAAUACGGAGAUGAAGGAUGUGGAUUGGAGACAUUGUGGAGAGGAGAAGGUCAGCUCAGGUGAAACAGUCUGCUUCAGCUACGCCCACCACGGGCACUGCCCGCUUGGUAACUCUUGUGUCAACAGUCACGAUAUUGAUCAUAUUAUCAAGAAUCGAGGCGAAGAGAAGAUGAAGAAGCAGAAGAAACGAAAGAACCCUGAGGACGAGAACGCUGAGAACACCAUCGAACCGGUUAGUGACGCCGCCGGUGAUGCCAUUGAGACACAAAUAACGUCGCCGCCUAACUCUGGCGGCCAUCGCGCCGGUUAUGACGCUUUUAUGACCGGAUUCGCGUUCUCCACGUUCUUAGUUCAUCAGACACAGAUCCCGCGUAACCCUGGAGACUUCUGCCCGGUCAGCAUACGCUCAGAACAGCUGGUCAACAGAAUAUACCUCACUUGCAAGGAUUUCCCGAUGUUGGUUCAGAAAUCUGCUUUCUCCAAGUGCUCGUCUGAGCACGCAGAUAAAAUGAAGAGACUCGGAAUACAAUAAUUCCCACCAAUCAUACUAGAACUAAGGAGAGAGGAUAAUUUUUGUUUAUAUUUUUACUAACCGGGUUGGCCACAAAGGAUACGACUUCAGGAGACGACAGUACACUCUCUUUCCUUCCAUCUAUGGUUCCCCGUAAAAGAUUAUAUUUAACCCACGUAUCUGAUAGUUUAAGAUUCAUACUUUCUGGGUUACCCCGUAUCAGCACAGCCCCAGGAACUGGUUGUAUUGUAAACAAACAAAUGGUCCAUCAAGACUCGACCUGUUUGUUUACAAUCUUUGUUAAUGUUUGCAAUUAAACCUGUUCUUGGUACGCUUGAAAUGUAAAGAAACCCAUUCUAAAUUAUAGAUAACUCCCAUUUUUUACUCCGCAUUUAUUUUUUCAUCUGAAAUUUUCAAUAUUUUCCAUAUUUCUCAAUGUUAUGUGUCUUAUAUGUCUUAAUUCUCCAAUUUAUUUUUCAGUUAAUGCUUUUUGUUAAUAGUCGGUUAAAGACGAUAUUAUUUUUUAACAAGAUGAAAAUACAUUCAUUGAAAGAAAA
rnacentral:misc_RNA from 1 species